rnacentral:rRNA from 1 species
UAACACGUAGGGAACCUGCCCGCGCACCGGGAAUACGCUCUGGAAACGGAGAACAAAUCCCGAUGUACAGGAAGGAGGCAUCUUCUUUCUGUGAAACAUCCUUUAGGGGAUGGGGCGCGGAUGGACCUGCGGUGCAUUAGUUUGUUGGCGGGGUAAAGGCCCACCAAGACGAUGAUGCAUAGCCGGCCUGAGAGGGCGGACGGCCACAUUGGGACUGAGACACGGCCCAGACUCCUGCGGGAGGCAGCAGUAGGGAAUUUUCGUCAAUGGGCGCAAGCCUGAACGAGCGAUGCCGCGUGAGUGAAGAAGGCCUUCGGGUCGUAAAGCUCUGUUGCGGGGGAAAAAAGGCAGCAUCAGGAAAUGGGUGCUGACUGAUGGUGCCCCGCCAGAAAGUCACGGCUAACUACGUGCCAGCAGCCGCGGUAAUACGUAGGUGGCGAGCGUUAUCCGGAAUGAUUGGGCGUAAAGGGUGCGCAGGCGGUCCUGCAAGUCUGGAGUGAAACGCAUGAGCUCAACUCAUGCAUGGCUUUGGAAACUGGAGGACUGGAGAGCAGGAGAGGGCGGUGGAACUCCAUGUGUAGCGGUAAAAUGCGUAGAUAUAUGGAAGAACACCAGUGGCGAAGGCGGCCUGCUGGACGACAACUGACGCUGAGGCGCGAAAGCG